rnacentral:rRNA from 1 species
AAGUGUGGGUAUCAAACAGGAUUAGAUACCCUGGUAGUCCACACGGUAAACGAUGGAUACUCGCUGUUGGCGAUAUACGGUCAGCGGCUUAGCGAAAGCGUUAAGUAUCCCACCUGGGGAGUACGCCGGCAACGGUGAAACUCAAAGGAAUUGACGGGGGCCCGCACAAGCGGAGGAACAUGUGGUUUAAUUCGAUGAUACGCGAGGAACCUUACCCGGGCUUAAAUUGCAAAGGAAUAAUCUGGAAACAGAUUAGUCUUCGGACCUUUGUGAAGGUGCUGCAUGGUUGUCGUCAGCUCGUGCCGUGAGGUGUCGGCUUAAGUGCCAUAACGAGCGCAACCCUCGCCGCCAGUUACUAACAGGUAAUGCUGAGGACUCUGGCGGGACUGCCAUCGUAAGAUGUGAGGAAGGUGGGGAUGACGUCAAAUCAGCACGGCCCUUACGUCCGGGGCUACACACGUGUUACAAUGGGCGGUACAGAAGGCAGCUACCUGGCGACAGGAUGCCAAUCCCGAAAGCCGCUCUCAGUUCGGACUGGAGUCUGCAACCCGACUCCACGAAGCUGGAUUCGCUAGUAAUCGCGCAUCAGCCACGGCGCGGUGAAUACGUUCCCGGGCCUUGUACACACCGCCCGUCAAGCCAUGAAAGCCGGGGGUACCUGAA